GACGAACGCUGGCGGCGUGCUUAACACAUGCAAGUCGAACGGAAAGGCCCUGCUUUUGUGGGGUGCUCGAGUGGCGAACGGGUGAGUAACACGUGAGUAACCUGCCCUUGACUUUGGGAUAACUUCAGGAAACUGGGGCUAAUACCGGAUAGGAGCUCCUGCUGCAUGGGGGGGGUUGGAAAGUUUCGGCGGUUGGGGAUGGACUCGCGGCUUAUCAGCUUGUUGGUGGGGUAGUGGCUUACCAAGGCUUUGACGGGUAGCCGGCCUGAGAGGGGGACCGGCCACAUUGGUACUGAGAGACGGCGCAGUCGCCUACGGGAGGCAGCAGGGGGGAAUCUUGCACAAUGGGCGGAAGCCUGAUGCAGCAACGCCGCGUGCGGGAUGACGGCCUUCGGGUUGUAAACCGCUUUCGCCUGUGACGAAGCGUGAGUGACGGUAAUGGGUAAAGAAGCACCGGCUAACUACGUG
rnacentral:rRNA from 1 species